AUACAGAGGGUGCAAGCGUUAAUCGGAUUUACUGGGCGUAAAGCGCGCGUAGGUGGCUAAUUAAGUCAAAUGUGAAAUCCCCGAGCUUAACUUGGGAAUUGCAUUCGAUACUGGUUAGCUAGAGUAUGGGAGAGGAUGGUAGAAUUCCAGGUGUAGCGGUGAAAUGCGUAGAGAUCUGGAGGAAUACCGAUGGCGAAGGCGACCAUCUGGCCUAAGACUGCCACUGAGGUGCGAAAGCAUGGGGAGCAAACAGGAGUAGAUACCCUGGUAGUCCAUGCCGUAAACGAUGUCUACUAGCCGUUGGGGCCCUUGAGGCUUUAGUGGCGCAGCUAACGCGAUAAGUAGACCGCCUGGGGAGUACGGUCGCAAGACUAAAACUCAAAUGAAUUGGCGGGG
rnacentral:rRNA from 1 species